rnacentral:rRNA from 2 species
GGACUACCCGGGUAUCUAAUCCUGUUUGAUCCCCACGCUUUCGUGCCUCAGCGUCAAUGACUGCGCAGUGAGCUGCCUUCGCAAUUGGUGUUCUAUGUCAUAUCUAAGCAUUUCACCGCUACAUGACAUAUUCCGCUCACCUCCACAGUAUUCAAGACAAAUAGUAUCCAUGGCAGUUUCCGAGUUAAGCUCGGAGAUUUCACCACGGACUUACCUGCCCGCCUACGCACCCUUUAAACCCAGUGAAUCCGGAUAACGCUUGCACCCUCCGUAUUACCGCGGCUGCUGGCAC